AUACCUUUCUCGGCCUUUUGGCUAAGAUCAAGUGUAGUCGCUCAUGUGUUGCACUACUGCAUGGGCUUGGCGCACCCCUCCAACAUUAGUUCAAACUUCCAAAUUUAGCCAUUGGGCCUUCACAAAUUUGAAAACUAUAAAUUAAAUUGACAUAGAAUUUCAUUGCAUGUUGAGCAGUUUUUUUUAU